rnacentral:rRNA from 2 species
AUGCAAGUCGAGCGGACAGAUGGGAGCUUGCUCCCGGAUGUUAGCGGCGGACGGGUGAGUAACACGUGGGUAACCUGCCUGUAAGACUGGGAUAACUCCGGGAAACCGGAGCUAAUACCGGAUAGUUCCUUGAACCGCAUGGUUCAAGGAUGAAAGACGGUUUCGGCUGUCACUUACAGAUGGACCCGCGGCGCAUUAGCUAGUUGGUGAGGUAACGGCUCACCAAGGCGACGAUGCGUAGCCGACCUGAGAGGGUGAUCGGCCACACUGGGACUGAGACACGGCCCAGACUCCUACGGGAGGCAGCAGUAGGGAAUCUUCCGCAAUGGACGAAAGUCUGACGGAGCAACGCCGCGUGAGUGAUGAAGGUUUUCGGAUCGUAAAGCUCUGUUGUUAGGGAAGAACAAGUGCAAGAGUAACUGCUUGCACCUUGACGGUACCUAACCAGAAAGCCACGGCUAACUACGUGCCAGCAGCCGCGGUAAUACGUACGUGGCAAGCGUUGUCCGGAAUUAUUGGGCGUAAAGGGCUCGCAGGCGGUUUCUUAAGUCUGAUGUGAAAGCCCCCGGCUCAACCUGGGGAGGGUCAUUGGAAACUGGGGAACUUGAGUGCAGAAGAGGAGAG